rnacentral:tRNA from 1 species
CGAGAGUUAGCGCAGUUUGGUAGCGCACCUGCUUUGGGAGCAGGGGGUCAUGGGUUCGAAUCCCCUACUCUCGACCA